AAAAGAAAACAGUCUAGUCACAAGGUUUGGGAUGAGAGGGUUUGUAUUCACAUAAACACAAACUUUCUCACUGCUUGUCAUCCCAAAUUGUUUUGUUCUCAAAGGCUGUCUUUCUGCUCCUCCUCUGAUCUCAGUUUCCUACAUAACAACUUUCUUGGUUUACAUGCCCUUUGGCAAGUGCAGCCAGCACCAUUUCCUGUUUCUAAACUUGUAGACAACCCUCCAUCUAUCUCACAGUUGUCAGUUUGCAUGAGAUAACAACUGUACUGUAUUGCUGCUUUUUUUUUUUUUUUAAAUCUUUAGCUUAGGUUCAAAGGACCCUAGAAGUGAGCUGUUGAUUUCUUUUUUCUUUUACCUUUUUUUUUUUUCCUGUGGUGCCAGGGAUUGAACCCAGGGCUUUGUGCAUGCGAGGCAAACACUCUACCAACUGAGCUAUAUCCCCAGCCCCUCUGUUGAUUUCUUUGUUAGACCAGUCUUAAUUAAUCUGGAUAACUUUCCACAAGACUCAAAAUCUGAAAAUGAAAGUAAGUAGAAUGUGUUCUCCGGUUCCUGAGGCUGAAAACUCAAUGAUGGUGACACAAAACAUAGGACUUUAAAGCAAGAAGUGCUUUCUCCUGUGUGUUCAGGGAGAAGGGAGGACAGAGCCAUGAAUGCAGCUCAACCUGGUGAGGACUUCUGCAGUAAGAAUCCCUAACUAUGGCAGGUCCGGUACGGAUCAGAACCACAGGGGCUGAACCCUCUGUAGGUCAGAGACAUUUGAACAGUUCUGACAAUUGGUAUGCAUGCUUGCAACGAAGUUGAUCACUUCGUUGGUCAUUAUUUCUGUAGUACUACUAUGUGCUAGAUACUAAACUUAUUUUUCUUAAGAUAUUAGCAUUCUAAAACUAUUCACAGGUUUACUAACCAUUUAUAAAAGUAAGGUAUGCUGAUCUGAUUAUUUGAAAAGUACAUUAAAGGGUAUAGAAAAAAGUGAAAAAAUCCUCUGUGGUGUCCCUGAGAGACUAUCACCAUCAACCAUGUGAAGUUAUCUUCUUGUUUUUUGACUCCAUGUGUGUCUCAGCAAAGCUCACAAUAUGCCAUGUAGAUAGUUUGCCAUUUACUUUUUCCUUUUGCUUAAUUUUACUUCAUAACCAUUUUUCCCACGUCAUUACAAACUUUUUAUAAACCAUCUUAUUGAUGGUCAUGUGAUCUUCAUCUCAUGUGCAGCAAAUACUAUCUUUUUUUCCAUGAACCACAUCAUACGGAGUCUAGAUUUCUUUUAAAGUUAGAAAUAUGUUCAUAACUCAUAGACAUGUCCAAUUUUAUGUGCCAAUUAAGAAAACAUAAAACAUUGAAUUAAUAAUACUAAUCAAUCUGUCUCUUCUGCACAGAUCAAGGUUUUUUGGAAAAGUUAGCUCUUUCAUGUUUUGGGAUGUCUCUAUAAUUCUCUUCCAGAAAACACACACACACACACAACGCACACACGAACACCCUGGAGCCUGACAGAUCACAACCAUGAAGGUGGGUCUCUGGUUUUCAAUCCAGCAUGACUUCCGUUGCCCCUACCCCUGGCCCAUGCCCUUGUGAUGCAGACAGUCCUCCUGAUGAGCUAGGCCUUCACAUCUGCACUGAUGAACUGCAGACCCAGCACCUAGCAUCCGCUUCCCUCAGCACCAGCACAUAGCCACCUACCUUUUUGGAAGCCCCUUCUCCUGAUGGCGGGCCACUCCCUCCCUUCUCCCAGGAAAGCAGUUCCAUUGUAGUCCCUGCUAGCUCCUGCCACCAUGAACAAACCUUGCAUUCUCUUCCCUGCCACUUGGAAUCACAGUGACCCUCUUCAUUUAGGUCAUAUUUCCCCCUCCAGAUCUUUUCACAUGCUCUUCCCUUUUCCUAGAAUUCUCUUCUGCUGUCUCCUUGUUUUGAGUAACAUCACACAUUCUUCAUGUUUUAGUUUAAAUAUCACUUCCUCUGGCUACAUCCCCUUUGCUAUGUACUCCUGUAGCCAAAGCCAUAAUUACAGUGCUCGAUUAAAUGUUUAUCUCCUCCCAAACUGUGGGUUCUGCAAGGAGAAUGACAAUGUCUGGGUUUGGUUUUGCUCCCCUCUGCCCCACCUCUUCUCCUUCUCCCCCUCCUUCUUCGUCUUCUGUAAAUGAUGAUGAAAUGAGCAUCUUUUAUGCUUGAUUAUUUGUCCCUAUUUUGUAACUUUUAAGUUACUUUCUGAUGACAAAUUCUUGGAAGUAGAAUUACUAGGCCAAAGAAUAUAAACAUCUUGGAGUCUCUUGAGCUUCCUUACAUGACGCUUAAACUCGUAGCACUCUUCACCACCAGCAAGUAAGAGACGAUUCAGCUGUUGUCUUCCUGGCAUGUAUGAAAUUAUGUUUCUUCAUCGGGGUUCAUGUGUACCUGAGUGGGUGCAUCAUGAGCAAGUGUAGAUGGGUCUUGUCCACUUGGAAUUUAAUUUAUAUCUGGCAGGAGGGUAGGAUUGUCUUUUGCCAAAAGAGACGAAUUAUCUCAAGAUGAUUAUCUAAAGAUGUUUUGCACAAUAACCAUUUUUCCCCCUAAUGAUUUGAUAGCCACUAUUAUUCUUGGUUCAGUAUGUUUUCCUGGGGUGGGUAUGACCCCUUUUCAUCCUUGAGGUUGUAGGGAAACAUUCUGAAAAGGCAGCCUACCUUCUUCUGUACUCUUUCUUUUCUGCAUUCAUUCUCCCUGGCUCUGCCCACUGAAUGUCUCCAUUCAGCAGCAACCAAGCUCCACAGAGGCAGGAUUCUGGGGCAUGUAGGGAAAGCUGGAGACCUAAACCUAGGGAAACCCACCAGGCUAAUGCUAAUUUAGCUAUGUUUCUAAAUGUGGUUUUCUGGAAUGAUCAGAGCUUAGCUUUAGCCUGUCUGACACUGGACUUUUUUUAAAAAAAAAACAUAACCUGUGAACAGAAGACCACUAAAAAUGAAGUGCUAUGGCAGAAGACAGAUUAUCUGCUGUCAUUCCUGGUGUUUAAGACACCUGAGUUUCUAUGGUGAUGGUUUCUUCUUUUACACAACAUGGUACAUUUGUACAAAGGGGGGAAUGCCAGUCUUCACUAACUAAGACAAGAGACUCAAUGUUUCCCUUACAGGAAGCCACCAGCCACGUCCUCAGAAAGGCAGUGGGAGGAGACAUCUCUAAAUUAAAUUAAUUUGCUCUCUGCUUGCCUUCUGGCUUGCUUUCUGGCUUUUUUACACAAUACCAUAGUUUUUGCAAGUUGGUCCUGGGAAAAUUAGGUCGACAGAAUUUGACCCUAAUUUGUGAAUAUUAAUUGGCUGCAUUUUCCAUAAGUCAAUAUUGGCAAUCAAAAAAAGUGAUCAUUUUUAUAUUUCAAGAUGUAAAACCAAUUGGAGAAAGAGAAUUCUGCUGCUUCUUAGGAUACUAUCAUAAUUUCUAAGUGCUACUGGAUUUAAAUCAAGCAUGCCCUGCCCCUAAAUGUGGAUCUAUGUUUUAAAAAUGAAUUAAUUUAUCCUUUAUCCAGAACUCAUAUGCAAUUUUCCCCUGUGAAUCUUAGACAAAUCUAAUUAAUAUUCCUUUCAUUGUUUGCUUUUUUUUUAAAGAAAAAAAAACAAGUACAAUUUCUUUCUCUGGGUGUAUGUUGAGGGGGAGGAGUUGCAAGUAUUUUUAAAUGUCCUUAGGUGUUGUAAGAAAUAGCAAGUAACAGAAGACUUAACUUAGACCAGUUUCAAUAAUAAAGAACUUCCUGCCAGUUCCUCUUUCUCUCCAUUCUGCUUCUUCAGCUCUGCUCUUCCUUUUCUCCAUAUUUUCUAACAACUAUUAUUUUACUUGUUGUAUUUAUUGUCUCUGAUCUGUCUCUUGGUCCAUGAGGACGGAGAUUCUUAUCUGUUCAAUGCAUUGAUGAAAUCCAAGUGCCUAGCCAUGACUGGCACAGGGCAUUUGUUCAGUAUUUUUUGAAUUCACUUCAAUCAAUUCCUGUCUCUGAAAAGUGCAGGUUCCUGAAGAGAUGGGGUCCUUGGGCUCAAUGGUACCAUGUAGGACCUAGCUCCUAUCUCCAUAUUUUGUGUUUCUUGGUGAUGACUCAAUCUUUGGUCAGGCUCCUCCUGUGGUUCUCAUGUGCCUCUUACGUCUCAGUGUUAUAGUCAAGUGGCAGGAGGGACAGAGACUUUAUCUUGCAUCCCAAGCACAACUCCUGAGACUCACUCUAAAGGAAGGGGCUCAGGUCACCAUCACUCCGGCCCCAGUGAGGAUGUCAUAUGCUGAUGGCUUAACUCAGGCCAUGUGUUCCCUCCUCAGCACAGGGAUGGAAUUGACCUUCAGGCAUCAUGUGGAUCCCCAAACAGGAGAGAGGGAAGUGAAGAAUGCAUGUCCACUCACUCAAUCAGAAGCAAGAAGAGGUCCAUCAAUGAGGGUUUAUUAUGAGAAGCAAACAGAAUUUGGGAAAUCCCCUCUUCAGUCUAUCUAGUUUAUGUGACUAGAGCUGAGGUUAGACUCAGCUUGUGUGGUCAGGCUGAGCUAAUAUUCUUACUUCAGGGGCAAAUUUGAGAUUUCCUAAGAGUUGGAGGAAUCCUCUAAAAGGAUUCUGGAAAGCAAACAAACAAAAUACUGAAUUUAAAAAUAAAGAAAAAUGUUGCCUCUUCACAUUUUCUGUUUAUUGAACUUACUGGUGUUUUAAGAAAAGCAAAAUCACUUCAAUCCUCUUUAUUCUUUUAUUCUGUAUCAAGUGCAUCAGGCAGCAAGCAGUGCUUCUUCAUCUCCAGGGCCUCAAUGUCCCAGUAAGGCAGCUACAGAAAGAGGCUGGACAUGUUGUCACCAGUGGUCCUGAACCAAAGCUGCUCCUGCCAGGGCAGAAGUCCUUGUUUCCUGGAGAGGACCAAUUUGCUGUGCUAACCAGGUCCUCCCUUGCCCUCUGAACAUGAAUGUGUGAAUGUGGCAUCACCAUAAAGAAUCCAGUACAGUUCUACCACACUCCAGGAUCUUUCUCCACUGCUGGACUGAAGACUCCAUGACAGCUGUGACCUGGCCCGUUUUGUUCAUCCCUGUACACCCUGCGCAGAGCAGAACAUCUGGAAAUAUUUAGAAAUGGAAUCCUGAGGCUUCUGAGCUGUCAGGGGGACUACAAAGGGAAACUGCAAUUCUGAAUCAUGAACAAUUCUGUAGUUUGCUGAAGCAGAAGGCACUGGAGGGAACUGGUGCUGCGUCCCCUCACGAGGGUUGAGUGUGGGAUGGAGGGAAGGAAGCCUGCCUUUGACCCAGAAGAGAAUGCCGUAGAACUUAAGACAGCUCCGGAUUCCCAGGGCCUCUGCUGAAGCAAGUGAACAGGGUCUGAAGCAGGAGACAGUGAUAGAGAGCAAAUGGCCAAAGAGUACCCUGGGUCAGCUUGGUGGAGGGCUGUGACUCGGCAGCACCCAGACGGUACCUUCUAGGGAACUCCAGAAGUAUGUAAAAGAUACCUUAAAAGUUGAAGAGCUACGAUCCCCAGGAUAGGGAAAGAACCAGGGAAACUUGGCUUUUCCUGUUAUUCGCACAGUCUGGUAAGGCCAGGGGAAACUUGAAUUAUAGCAUGAAUAUUAUUGUGGCCUGGUCUCAUCCCAUGUAGAGAAUUCAGAUGGAGAAAUACUGAGCAAAAGCCCAUCAGCAGUCACAAUGGGGUGUGACAGGAAGGAAGGACAGAGUACUGUCCUCAAAAUCCCACAUCACUACUGCAUGGCCUCCAUAGUGAACUGUGCCUUUGGCUGUGGGAGUGUUGGUGGGGAAAGUGGGCCUUCUUCUAUCCUAGUAAACUUUUACAAAAAUCACAGUCUAGCACCAGGCAACAGCAGAGGCUGUUCGAUGCAUUUAUGUCGUAUUACCUGAACAGCUGGGCAAAGAUUGCCUUGGGAAACACGCUGGUAAGCUGGGAAAUUCUGAAGAUACAGAAGGAAACAUCAGCUCCAACUCAUAUGCUCUCCCCUCGUGUGCUCACAACAUACAUCACUUCUGUGACCUCAGAGGUGUGGGGAUUUCUUCUCUGAAGCCGGUAAGCAACUCUGCAGCAGCAGGAUCUUUACUUGAAUUCUGUUCUGACACUAACUACCUGUAGUUAGAGUUAGAUCCCACAGGUGGAGCGAUCCCUCCUGAAGCCUGCUCUCCCAAGCCCCACCUUCAGGUGCCAAUCGAAAGCCCCAGGUUACUUUUACCUGUGUCUCUGACAGAAUGUCUGUAACUCAGGGAUCUCACAAGUGCCUCCUCAGGUUGGAGAGAUUUAACUGAGCACCUUAUAGAACUCAGGGAAACAUUUUUUUUUUUAUUGGUUUACUGUAAAGGACAUUACAAAAGAUACAACAAAUAGUUAUAUAGGAUAAGGCAUAGAAGAGCUUCUGUGUCCAUCUCCAGGAACCUCCAUUACUUUGCCCUGUGGAAGCUCUUUGUCCUUUUGAGUUUUCAUGUUAACCUCAUGUACAUCUAAGGCUAAUAGAAUGGGUGAGGAAGCCUCUGAGAAAUUCCUGGCCACUCUGCAGCGUUCCUCCCUCCAGGGCACGGGGGAGUACCCUCUGGAAUGAGGAGAGUUCUAUGGCCUGUCAGGAGACAAAGGUAGUUAAAGAAUUUCUUACGGCCACAGAAGCAGGGAAGUAGGGUUUCUAUGACCUACCUGGGGAAAGACAAAUUCUAGUUUCUGGCUGCCUUGGGGAGGAAGUUCUGAGCUAGGAACUGUGGAUGAAAGCUAAAAUAUACCAUGAUAUCACAGAAAUUGUUCACACCAUACUUCAGUGGAGAUGGUAUUAACUUGAGAGUCAGAAUGUAAAAUCUGCAUCCUUGUCACCCCUUAAUAAUUUCGUUCCAAAAGUUAAUAACAGGAGUGUGUAAAAUAAAUUGCAAAUGAUCUGCUCCCAUUGUUGUGCCAAUAACUGUUUCUGAAGGGACACUACCAUUAAAACAAGAAAAGAGGAUGAGAUAAAAUGCAGUAUCCAAAUACGCAUAUGCUGUAGAUGUGAGAAGGUAGUAAGGCAAUUUCUGUUACUCACUUCCCAUUCCUUUCCAAGAAAGGUGUUCACAACAUGAUCCCUUUAAAAUAAUUCUUAUGCAUGUAUGGGAGGAGGCAGGAGUGGGUAUAUACAUGUAUAUGUAGAAGAAGUAAAAGAAAGCCCCAGGCGGAUUUUAUAAUAACAUGAGCAUCCUAACUCCUUUGAACUGAGUUUGAACUGGGUAGUCUUUAAAGCCCUUUUAUAUCUCUCACAUGUUCUACAUGUAAAGUCCUCAAGCUCCUUUGGAUGACGGCUGGUUGAAAUUGGUUUUUUAGGCCAGAUUUUUAAAAAGGACUUUUUUUUUUUUUUAAAUAGAAGCAACUGCUUCUUUAUGGCCACAUUAGAAACAAUCAGAAAAAGAACAAUAAUUAAAAGCUAAUGAGAAAAUGCCACUGAAAAUGAACAUAUAUUUUCUUCCCUCUCUCUCUUUCUCUCUCUACCUCCCUCCCUCCCCCUCUUCCUCUCCUUUUCUCUCUUUUUUCCUGGUACUGCAGAUUUGACCCAGGGCUUCAUACC